UACGUAGGGUCCAAGCGUUAUCCGGAAUCACUGGGCGUAAAGCGUACGUAGGCGGGUGUUUGCGUGCAAUGCGAAAUCGUGUGGCUCAACCAUAUCGACUGUAUUGCAUACGGGACACCUGGAGGAUGGCAGAGGCAAGUGGAACUAGUAGUGUAGCAGUGAAAUGCGUAGAUAUUACUAAGAACACCAAUGGCGAAGGCAGCUUGCUGGGCCAUAUCUGACGCUGAGGUACGAAAGCGUGGGGAGCGAACAGG
rnacentral:rRNA from 1 species